rnacentral:lncRNA from 1 species
AGAUAUAUAACGCGAGGCGCAGCCGAGCGUUAUAUAUCUGAUAAAACACGACAAUGAGUGUUUUGAAUAGCUUAAAAUACGACUACAAAAGAAUACUAAUUAGGAUGAACCAUAGUAUAAUCAUGCUAAUUAAGAUGAACAAUUAUAUAAUGCCACAUGUGUUUUAUCAGAUAUAAAGUCACUCCACAUGACAUAUUAUGGCUGACAUGAUUUGCCACAAGGUUUAUG